rnacentral:rRNA from 1 species
GACGAACGCUGGCGGCGUGCUUAACACAUGCAAGUCGAACGGAAAGGCCCUGCUUUUGUUGGUUGCUCGAGUGGCGAACGGGUGAGUAACACGUGAGUAACCUGCCCUUGACUUUGGGAUAUCUUCAGGAAACUGGGGCUCAUACCGCAUAUGAUCUCCUGCUGCAUGUUGUUGGUUGGAAAGUUUCGGCGGUUGGGGAUGGACUCGCGGCUUAUCAGCUUGUUUGUGUGGUAGUUGCUUACCAAGGGUGUGACGGAUAGCCUGCCUGAGAGGGUGACCGGCGACAAUGGGACUGAGAGACGGCGCAGACGGGUACGGGAGGCAGUAGUGGGGAAUAUUGCAGAAUAGGGGGAAGCCUGAGACAGAAACGUCGGGAGCGGGAUAACGGGCUACGGGUGGAAAACAGAUUUCGAAGGUGACGAGGAGGGAGUGACGGUAAUGGGUAAAGAAGCAACGGCUAACUACGUG